UGAUAAGAAGGUGGGAUACCUAAUACAGCCAGUAAUGUUAGAGGAAGUUUGUGAAGCUUUCUUUGAAAAUGUUAUAACUUAUCUCAUUCCUAAGUAAUGAAUAGAUUUGGUUAAUAAAAAGGAGGGAGAGGAGGCCAUUCUAAAUACAGCAGUAUAAAUAAAAUAUUGGAAACAUGAAUGUGUUACAUAUUUAUGUGUUAUAAUAAAAACUACCAAAACAUUCAGUUUCUUUACUUUGAAUUUUUCAUAAUUCAGCAUUCUUUUUCUUGCCAUGAAGCUGAAAUGUCCCAGGCAAAGGAACUAAAGAAGUUGCUCUAAUCCAUGGUGUUGGAGCCAUCCAAGAACAUGUGUUGUGGGCAAGAGGAAGGCAAGACUUUAAGUAGUUGGGGCACAACGCUAAGUGUAAGGUGAGCAAGUAUAUUCAAAGCCUGGUAAAGGAGAAUGGGUGGAAGUGAACAGCACAAUUCUGACCAAAUGACUGAGAGGGAAGCUGUGAUGUGGCGUCUGUCAUGAUUGCUUGCAUGGCCCUGGCGCAGGGACAGAAAGGAAGCUAGUUAGGUUCCUUGUCAGAAGUCAAACUAUCUUCUUUGGAAAAUUAGAUACUUAUAUGCAACAUUUUAAUAACAAAUGAAAUCAAAUAAAGGAGGCAUGUGUUUUAUUUUUGUUAUUAAAGUCUUUGAAAGAAAGGAAAAAAGUCAUUUAAAUAUCAAAAUUAGUAUGCUAGUUCUGACAUCAAUUAAUAUAUCAUGUGUUGAGGAAUUCUCCUGGUAGAUUGAAACCAAGAUGUUUCAAAGAAUGAUAGUGGAUAAUGAGAUACAGGUAAUGACAGGAACAUACGCCUGCCUUUCCAGAUGUAAAAGAUAUUAAGCAGGGAUCAGGAGAGAAUAAGUAGCAUACUAAGGUCUGUCUCUUUCUCUCUUCAGGAACUACCAGGGGAGUAUGUUGCUAAGCUAAAUCUCAUAUAGUGGAACAGCUUGUAUUUUGAAGGAAGGAAGAGUAAAUCAUUAGUCCACUACCAACCAGAUGCUAGGCAAUCAUAUUCUCCUACUUUGGAUAAAAUCUCAUGGUCAUUUCGUGGAAAUAGAGAUGUCCUGAUUGGAAAAGGGACUUGAAGAAAGGUUGAGGUCUGGCAUAUAAAUAUGAGUCUGCUCAGGUAGAACAGCGUUUGGUUAUUUUUCAACUCUGCCUGGAAGCACCAGGUCACAAGCUCAUCCCAGCCUGUCCACGCCUGGAGUAAACCAUGAGAAAGCCUUGGAUAUAUGAGACAGAGGAAGUAGCCAAGAGGGAACUCAAAUGCUGGCUCUGUGACCAGCAAACAAAUGGCCCUUAGGUUCUCCUACAAAAAGGCAUUAUACAAUGGAAACCUCUACAUUUUGGAUCUAUUAAAACAUCACCCAAGGACCAGUCUGCAUGGGUGUGAGGUGGUCAGAAUCUGUGUAUUUAGUUCUGUUAUGAAUCUGAAGCAAGUGGCAUAUGUUAGUAGGAGAUCUGUGCCCAGAGAUAUGAGGAAGAGUGUGGAGUUUGAUCAUUUAAUUCAUUUUAGCAGUUUCCUGCAGUUUCUCUCACCAUACUAGGCAUGACCAAGCUCUCUAUAAGACAAGUGCUUCAUUAAACUUACCAGAAGAAUUAUGUAGUAAAUAGUUUAUAAAGUGCUCAGAGUGUUUCAGUGUUAAGGGAAUACAGUAUUAAUUUUUGUUGAAAUUGACCUAAAUGCUUUUGUUACUAAAAAGAAUAAACUACAUAGAGAUAAAAACCAGUAAAACAUUAUGCCAGAGAAAUGUUUUUAUUUUAAAAGGAAAAAUACAUCAUUGUUUGAAAAAAAGAAAGUAAAGAUAGUAGUGGAUGUUGACUAAGAAACCGUAUAAAUAUUUUACAUGAUAAAAAGAAAAUUAAAUCAGAACAAAGCAAUUCCAAAACCUAAAAGAUAAUUUCCUCUUUCCUUCCUUCCUUUCUUUCUUUCUUUCUUUCUUUCUUUCUUUCUUUCUUUCUUUCUUUCUUUCUUUCUUUCUUUCUUUCUUUUUCUUUCCUUCCUUCUUUCCUUC
rnacentral:lncRNA from 1 species